rnacentral:lncRNA from 1 species
AGGUUAUAGGACAGUCUAGCCACUGUCAGAAAUAACAGAACAAAGUAACACUAGAGAUAAUCUGAUGGCGAGAGGCAAGCGCAGGAACCCAAGCAACAGAAACCAAGACUACAUGGCAUCAUCGGAGCCCAAUUCUCCCACCAAAGCAAACACGGAAUAUCCAAACACACCAGAAAAGCAAGACCUAGUUUCAAAAUCAUAUUUGAUCAUGAUGCUGGAGGACUUCAAGAAAGACAUAAAGAACUCCCUUAGAGAACAAGUAGAAGCCUACAGAGAGGAAUCGCAAAAAU